rnacentral:pre_miRNA from 2 species
UGGCAAGAUGUCGGCAUAGCUGACGUUGAAAAGCGAUUUUGAAGAGCGCUAUGCUGCAUCUAGUCAGU